GACGAACGCUGGCGGCGUGCCUAAUACAUGCAAGUAGAACGCACAGUUUAUACCGUAGCUUGCUACACCAUAGACUGUGAGUUGCGAACGGGUGAGUAACGCGUAGGUAACCUGCCUGGUAGCGGGGGAUAACUAUUGGAAACGAUAGCUAAUACCGCAUAAUAUUAAUUAUUGCAUGAUAAUUAAUUGAAAGGUGCAAUUGCACCACUACCAGAUGGACCUGCGUUGUAUUAGCUAGUAGGUGAGGUAACGGCUCACCUAGGCGACGAUACAUAGCCGACCUGAGAGGGUGAUCGGCCACACUGGGACUGAGACACGGCCCAGACUCCUACGGGAGGCAGCAGUAGGGAAUCUUCGGCAAUGGACGAAAGUCUGACCGAGCAACGCCGCGUGAGUGAAGAAGGGUUUCGGAUCGUAAAGCUCUGUUGUAAGAGAAGAACGGGUGUGAGAGUGGAAAGUUCACAAUGUGACGGUAUCUUAACAGAAAGGGACGGCUAACUACGUG
rnacentral:rRNA from 1 species